GAGGGCGCAGAGUUUGCUGCUCUGAGAAGAGCGCAUCGGCGUCGGUUGCCAAUUAAAGUGUUCAGCACCUUCAUCCGCAGGCCCCUCGCGGGGGGAGUGUUUGGCAGAAAUACUCACAGUGCGUAUAGCGCGUACCAGCAGUGACCAGGGCAAUAUUGUUUGUUGUCACACAGCUUCGGACGUCCCCCCAUAAGCGAGGAGGACCUGGGUAGUGAGGUGGGGUCAGUCCACUGGAGGCGAUUCCGCGUUCCGUGGGCAUCGCAUCCCGAUGGGGAGAGACGGAAGUGCCGGUGCAUUCUGCACCCUGCCCUGCGGGACAGCAGAGCGUGUGCGCCGGCGGGCUCGGCCGCCGCUGUCAGCGGAGGUGGGCAGGCCCUGCAGCGCAGAGCCUGUGUGACUGCGGGCUGGGGCCACGCAGCCUGGUCACGUGGGGGAGGCGGGGCCUGCCCGUCCUCGUGACUCCGCGCCGGGGACCAGACCCCACCCCCACGGCCGGCUCGGCACAGCCUGGACGUGGAUCCCGCUGUCCAACUGUCGUUACGGGGGACCGUCGGACUUGUUUGCUGGGACCUGGGUCCGUAGUCGGCCGACACCAGUGACGCAGGGGAGAGUGGCGUUCGUUAUUGAGACUCGGUGUCGCAGGGCGAUGGGCGUAAUGCACAUGUUUACGGCUUAAAAAGAGGCUGAAAGUUCCUCGUUCUUCCCCAGACCCAGUGGGCUCAUCUGGCUCAUGGAAAAUGCGUACAUAGCCCAGGAAGAGAAAUCUCGUUUAAAGAGAUGCUGAAAACCGCACCGAGAGAGGAGAAUGAGAUGACAGGAAUUCCCGGCAAGUCUGGGGCACAGACAGCCAGGACUUUGCUCCUAGGAGCAGAGACGAGAACAGGACCAGGCAGCCGGCCCGGCCCCUCUGGCCCACCCGGCGUCUGACAGCCCCGUCCCCGACCCCCCACCCCCCCAGCCUGCCUCCGACUCCAUCACGUUGUUCAGAUUACUUCAGAUCAGUCUUGGAAACCACCUUCCAUUGAGGGGGCCUGUGUGUGCGGUUGUAGAGCAGCAUGGAGGUGUUUGAAAUAUCAGUGGCUGUUUUUGAAACUGGAAGGGGAAUGUUUCAUCUCACUUGAGAGAGGCAGCCCUUGUGCACAUGGCUAGAAACACACUUAAAAAGAAUUUAAAAUGCGGCAGAAGUCCUGCAUCCGUCUGCCGCAGGCACACGGGGUCUCCAGCCGGCCCCCGCCCUGCCUCUAACUUCUGUGCGUAAGCCACAGACCGUUUUCUCUGAAACUUACUCCAUUUGUGAAAGAUGACAAAGUCAGAAGUACACCCUGGGGUCCGGGUGGCUGGGCCCGACUCCUGACCGGCUCAGGUCACAAUCUCGCGGUUUGUGCGGCUGAGCCCCGCGGUGGGCUCUGCGCCGCACCAGCCGGGAGCCUGCCUGGGAUUCUCUGUUGCUCUGCCCCUCCUCUGUUGGUGCCUCUGUCCCUCAAAGUAAAUAAAUUUAUUUUAAAAAGUGUACUCCUAGAGACCUAGGACAACUCAGUGGGCCAGUCUGCAUAUUGAAUAAAGAUACGCAAACGUUAAAAAAUAUGAAUGGUUGUUCGUGCCUGUCGGCCUUGGACAAAGAGAAAAGGUCAGAAGACGUAGGACAGGGCGAGUGGCCCCAGGGCUUGAAGUGCCUCCGACAGUUUUCAGAAUCAAUUUCCUGAGGUUUCGAUAUCUUUUAUGGGACAAACAUUCUCGUUUGACAAUAAUAUGAGCCAAUCUCAAUACAGAGACGUUUCCGUUACAAUCUUUUACUUUUUUUAAUGAUUAUUUAUUUUUGAGAGAGAAACAGAGCUUGAGCAGGGGAGGGGCAGAGAGAGAGGGAGACACAGAAUCCGAAGCAGCUCCAGGCUCUGAGCUGUCAGCACAGAGCCCGACGUGGGGCUCGAACCCGCGAACCGUGAGAUCAUGACCUGAGCCGAAGCCGGACACCUAACCGUGAGCCACCCGGGCGCCCCAAGGAACACUGUUUUCUGUAUGCACAGGUGACGUAGCUGUGUGCCGUACUCAUUCUUGAAGGUGUCUCAGGUUUGGCUACCUUGUGAUGUGAUUUUUCCCUCCAUUUCAUUUUCUAACAAUGUUAGUAUAAAAGCAUUUUUAUCGUAUAAAUUGGACUCCUAUCCAGUCAUCUUGCUGAAUUCUCCUGACACUUUUUGGUGAGGCUUUUCAAUUUUCUAUCCAUUCCUUAUCUUACACCAGGCACAAAAAUUUGCACUCAAAGUGGAUUAGAGACUUAAAUGUACGAUCCGAAACUGUAAAAGUCCUGGAAGAACACAAAGGGAAGAGCUCCCUGGCGUGGGUCUCAGCGAUGAUUCCUCAGAUCUGACACCAAGAGCAAGCAUGGGCAGGUGGAAGGAUGUGGAGACAGCCGCACCGCAGAGAGGCCCCGCGGCAAAGGCAACAGGCAGAACAGGAGAAGAAUAUUUGCAAACCAGGGAUCUGGUGAGUGGUUAAUUUCCAGAAUUUAUAAGGAACCCCUGCAGCUUAGUAACAAAGAGCCAAAUAACCCAAUGAAACCAUGAGCAGAGAACCUUCUUCUCCAAAGAAGACAUACCAGUGGCCAACAGGUGCACAAAAAGGUGUUUAACAUUUUCCGCUAAUCAUCAAGAAAUGCAAAACGAAACUCCAGUGAGAUAUCACCUCACACCAUCAGGAUGAUUACCAUUAAAAAAAAAAU
ensembl:lncRNA